CAUCAAACUUCAUUUUUACUUAGAUUUUUUCUCUGUCAAGUUCUGAUAAGGUGAUACACCUUUUUUGUCGAGGCCCUGUUUCUUGUAUACUCAAGGACAAUCAGCUGAUCAAGGUUUUUUAUUAUUUUAGCCACUGGAGAAAAGAAGAUUAAGUCACCUUUUUAUUUUUUGGAAAUGGAAUAAUCAAUCAUUUUGGGGUUUCUUUUGGUGGAUCGGGAUUAUUUUCUGUUUGUUGUUUUGGAAUCGACAUUGAUUUUUACCAGUACUUGUAAGCACCUCCUCGUCUGACAUCCGCAUUGUGGUCGAGUAUCUCCCUAGGAUUGGAAAACCGGAGGAUACCUAUCUGGCUCUCCCAUCAUCAACCUCUCCAGGAGUUUGGAGAAGCCAUAGUCCCUACUUUUGUAGAAGCGACAGGUUUUUUAUAAAAUUUACAUUUUCAAUUCUUUUAAAUAAUUUCUUGCAAUUUUAAUAUUUUUUUUCAGUAACUUAUAAUAACAUUAAUAAUCAUAUAAAUUCAUUUUUCUAAAAUCAACUAACUUUAUAAUAUUCAAUAAUUUUUUUCCAACAAAUUUUAUCUUUUACUGUUCGUAUCAUUCUUUUAAAAUAGUCCGGGAGUUAUAAGCUAUAUGUUAAGGUGUUGUAUACAAUAUCUAGGGUUAUAAUUCCUAUUUAAUAACCUUUAUUUCAGUUAACAGGUAUUGUACUCAGGUUUAUCGCUUUAGGUCAGAUACUGGAUCGUCAGCCAAUACUGUGAUCAAUAUCAAUAUAAUAUUUUUGCUUAGGUAGAUAACUUGUGAUUCGAAAUAACUGUCUUGGUAUAAUUAAUUAAAUUUUUGUUUUUAUUUUUUUUGUACUGUAAAUCUCAGUGUCGAUAAGAGCGUAUCCUUCUAGUACGUCAGGAAUUAGCUAGUUUGUAUAAAAUUGUAUAUAGGGGUUAUAGGUAUUUUUUUUCAUUAAAUUUGUUGGUUGUA